UUGAAAGUGUGAAAGUAGAGAAAGGAUCCCCUGCCAUUUGGCCUAGGUAGCUACUCUCUCAUCUCUGACCCUAUAUAGCUAGCUAAGACAACUCCUCAUCAAUCAUCAUGCGUCUGCUCCUUCUUCCUUUUUAGCCUUCUUAGCUGUGUGCCUUUGAAUUCCCUCUUCCUUGACUCUACUGUGCAUGUAAGCUUCCUUUAAUUCACUGUUACACAAGGUGGGAUAUGUCUUUAUGAUACUUAUUAACCCUCUUCUCUUUUCAUUUUCAAUCCAUCUAUCUGUCUCUCACUCACUCUAUAUAUUCUACUCUUGUUUUCCUUUCUCUCUUCACCCUCCAGUCCCCACUUUCAAUCCUUCCUUCCUGCUUACAAGUGUUUAAAUGGUAUCCACAUACAUGCAUCUUCUUCCCUUUUCUUUCUAUCUAAAUCUAGGUUUCCCAGCCCUUUUCCUCCUCUUUCCUCCUACCCUAUAUAUUUUGUCAUCGAGUUAUAGGUUGUGCUUCGAGUUAACCUGUUCUCAUUCAUCUAAACACUUGCCAUUUUUUGUUGUGUCCACUUGCUUUUGUAUGUGCAAGUGUGUGAUCGCUCCUUUUAGGUGGUUGUCUGUAUAUCUUUUCGUGGUUCCAGAAGAGUGUUGUGAUGUUUCUUUUCUUCUUUUAAGCGUUCCUCACAUAUUAUAUGCACCCGCAGAGAGUGGAGUUGAGCCGUUACAUACUACACAGUUGGGAUUAGAAGUUCGCAAAGGAAAAAGUGAAGCUGCCAGCAUGAUCUAGCUUUGGUUAGAGAGCAGACGAGUGUUAACCCUGACUAGGUCAUGCUGUGACAGCCUCACUUCUUCCUGUUUGGGGACCCAGUAGAUUCUUCAACGUCUGAAAGACACACAAGGAUUAAAAGCAAAAGGUGAGUUAGUAGAUAGACAGACUCACCAUGAGAAAAUCACUGUUAGCAUCGUAUAUUCCUUUUUCUGAGUUUCUGUUCUGGCAGGCGUGCGUUAUUAAUUUUUCCCUUUUUCUUGCUUUGUCUUUUUCUUUUUUUUCUCCUCUUGCCAUUACUUCUUUCACGCAACUGUUUCACUGUGUCCUGUGGACCUAGCUUUUAAUCUCAAGGCCGCAGAUUGCUCCUUAUCUUUACUUAAUUAGGGUUUCUAGAACCCGAGGAUCGAUAUUGCUUGUGUCAUUUAAGUCUCCAUUUUAUUGAUUGGGAAUUUCUUUACAAUGGCUUGAAUUUCAAAACCCUAGUUACUGGUUAUUUUGAUCUUAAAGUUGGUCUCUAUGAGUGCUAUGUUGUGCUGUAGAGUCAUAGUUUAUGCAGCAUAUAUGUAUAUAUAUAAGACUUGUAUAUCCGUAAUGCUUUGUUGGUUUAAGUUCUUAUUCAUUUAACUGCAUAAAAUGCUGAAAUAUUCUCUCUAAGAUGCGCUUCAGUCCCGAAGCAGUGAUGCUGAUCCAGAUGAACCUCUUUUUCUCAGGUUCUCAGGAUUUGGUUACUACAUUUGUUGUGCUCGAUUUGUUUCUAUAAGGUGGGAUUCUUCAUUUGUUAUCUUUUACUGCUACCCAUGUCUAUGUAAAACAUAGUGUUUCAAAUCUGGAUUAAGGUUAAUUCUAGCAUUGAGCCGUUAAUCCAGACUCUAAAAGAAGCCGUAUCUUGAAGACAUUGCGAUAGAGAUAAGUAGGGGACUAGAGUAUGCCCUACUGUUGGCGCAACGAAAAGUACAUGUGGUGAGACAGUGUCCAAUAUGAACUAAUUUGUUAAACAACCAAUCGUUUUCUGACGAAACUGAUUUGAAAAUGGAUAAAAUGCCCUUUGGUCCACCGGGCAGGAUGAUCGGUGGAAGAUGUUUAGCGGAUGGAAAAGAAUAAACAUCAUCCCUUUUGAGAGAAAAAAAAAUUAGAAGAUUCACCAAAGUUGUUAAAGUUUUAGUAAGACGAAAACAAAAGAAUUUGGAUCUAUAUUUACGAAAGUUCUUGGGUGAUGAGUUAAGUCUAUAGGACAACUGGGGAAGCUGUUUUCAGUAAAA